GUUCUGGCCAGCAAGGAGCCCACCACCAGCGUGACCCUUACCCGGCUGGGAGUCGGUGUUGACGUGCCCCUCAGCGGCUGUCCAUGAACAGCACGGCCGAUUUAAUCCAGGCUUCCACCUAGAGAUGGCUGUGGCCCCGGAAGCUUCCCAGAGUCAGUGCAACCUUGUUAGUGCUUAUCAACAAAUGCUUUAAGAUAGAGACAUGGAUCUUCAAUAAAACAUCUUCUCAUGUUUCCAGCCAUUGGAAAUUUUGCAGCGUUGAGCCCUGUCACUCCGCUUCAACACAACCUUUGAAUUCCAAUAAACAGAAUUUAUGGACCCAAAAGGUCAAAAAAACUGGAAGAAAUUGGUUAUUGAACUCCUGAAAAAUCCUAAUUAAAGGAAAGUAAUGACAUCCCUGAGUCUUGCCUUAAUGAAUCUUCUGGC